CGAGCGAAACUCCUCGCCUCCGCGCAGGACAUCCGCCGGCCCGCACGGAGGAGCCGCGGGCUGGGGCAGGGCGAGGGGUGCCGAGCGGGGCAGAGGGGCGCCUUUACCGUGUGCCUGGCUGUAGGAGACCCUGGCGCGGGCGUGGGCAGAGUUGGCGUAGUAAGGGUUGCCCUGGGAGUCCAGGUGGUUGAAGAAGACAUCGACUUCGUCGGGAGCAGGAAAGUCGUGGAGGCAGGUCCUGGGAGGCGCCGGGGCAGACAACACCUGUAGGGAGACAAGGACGCGUUAGCAGCUCGGCAGGCCCGGGGAGAUGCACUGCCCGCCAGGAAGAGAGAGAAGCUGUCACCAGCCGCGUCCAGGGAUCGCCCCAGCACGGAACGACUCUAAAACGCGGGGCCGUCGCUCAGGAGGAAAAACUGCUGGAAAAGCGGGUGU